ensembl:snRNA U5 U5 spliceosomal RNA
AUUCUCUGAUUUCUCUUCAGAUCAAAUAAAUCUUUCGCCUUUUACUAAAGAUUUCCAUGGACAGAAACAAUUCUGAGACUCAGACAUUAGAAAACAAACUUACUGUUA